UACGGGGGGAGCAAGCGUUGUUCGGAUUUACUGGGCGUAAAGGGCGGGUAGGCGGCCACCGCAAGUCAGUUGUGAAAUCUCCGGGCUUAACCCGGAAAGGUCAACUGAUACUGCGGGGCUAGAGUGCAGAAGGGGCAACUGGAAUUCUCGGUGUAGCGGUGAAAUGCGUAGAUAUCGAGAGGAACACCUGCGGCGAAGGCGGGUUGCUGGGCUGACGCUGACGCUGAACUGCGAAAGCUAGGGGAGCGAACGGG
rnacentral:rRNA from 1 species